rnacentral:rRNA from 1 species
ACUGCAAUUGUGACUGGCGGACUAGAGUUUGGCAGAGGGGGGUGGAAUUCCUGGUGUAGCAGUGAAAUGCGUAGAUAUCAGGAGGAACACCGAUGGCGAAGGCAGCCCCCUGGGCCAUGACUGACACUCAUGCACGAAAGCGUGAGGAGCAAACAGGAUUAGAUACCCUGGUAGUCCACGCCCUAAACGAUGUCUAUUAGUUGUUGGGUCUUCAUUGACUUAGUAACGAAGCUAACGCGUGAAAUAGACCGCCUGGGGAGUACGGCCGCAAGGUUAAAACUCAAAGGAAUUGACGGGGACCCGCACAAGCGGUGGAUGAUGUGGAUUAAUUCGAUGCAACGCGAAAAACCUUACCUACCCUUGACAUGCUAGGAAUCCCGCAGAGAUGUGGGAGUGCUCGAAAGAGAACCUGGACACAGGUGCUGCAUGGCUGUCGUCAGCUCGUGUCGUGAGAUGUUGGGUUAAGUCCCGCAACGAGCGCAACCCUUGUCAUUAGUUGCUACGAAAGGGCACUCUAAUGAGACUGCCGGUGACAAACCGGAGGAAGGUGGGGAUGACGUCAAGUCCUCAUGGCCCUUAUGGGUAGGGCUUCACACGUCAUACAAUGGUCGGUACAGAGGGCCGCCAACCCGCGAGGGGGAGCCAAUCCUUUAAAACCGAUCGUAGUCCGGAUUGUAGUCUGCAACUCGACUACAUGAAGUCGGAAUCGCUAGUAAUCGCGGAUCAGAAUGUCGCGGUGAAUACGUUCCCGGGUCUUGUACACACCGCCCGUCACACCAUGGGAGCGGGUUUUACCAGAAGUAGCUAGCCUAACCGUAAGGAGGGCGGUUACCACGGUAGGAUUCGUGACUGGGGUGAAGUCGUAACAAGGUAACC